GAUCAUGGCUCAGGAUGAACGCUAGCGGCAGGCUUAACACAUGCAAGUCGAGGGGCAGCGGGAUGUAGCAAUACAUUGCCGGCGACCGGCGGAUGGGUGCGUAACGCGUAUGCAACCUACCUUAUACAGGGGAAUAACCUUUCGAAAGGGAGACUAACACCCCAUAGUAUUGAUUUAAGGCAUCUUAGAUUAAUUAAAUAUUUAUAGGUAUAAGAUGGGCAUGCGUAUGAUUAGCUAGUUGGUAAGGUAACGGCUUACCAAGGCGACGAUCAUUAGGGGUUCUGAGAGGAAGGUCCCCCCACACUGGUACUGAGACACGGACCAGACUCCUACGGGAGGCAGCAGUGAGGAAUAUUGGUCAAUGGGCGCAAGCCUGAGCCAGCCAUGCCGCGUGCAGGAAAGACGGCCUCAUGGGUUGUAAACUGCUUUUACAUAAGACUAACCGUAUAUUUGCGAAUAUACCUGAAUGUAUUAUGAGAAUAAGGAUCGGCUAACUCCGUGCCAGCCGCCGC
rnacentral:rRNA from 1 species